ensembl:lncRNA
AUGAGAUUAAGCUUCAGCGUAAUUCAUAAGUGCUCUGGAGCUGUGGCGAAGGAGUAUUUAAUGCAAUUUACCAGGAAACGGAAGUGGGUAGGAGGGAGGUAUGUGGAUGCAUGUACUGUGAUGGCUUUAGCCAUCUUUGUGUCUCCCAGUAUCCAGGGCAGUUUUAGAGGGAAAACGAAGGAGCAGAGAGGUGAAGGGCCGGCUUUGCUCAAGGCUCAGCAGUGCAGCUUGCCUGGACUUCAAUGGUAGCUGCAAGUGCCCCGCACCGUUAAAUCAGGCCACGUUUCCUUAGGUGUCUGACUCUAGGCCCCAGUCUUCAACCUCGGGGGCUAGUCUCUAUAAACUGUUUAUAUUUUUUAAUCUUCCUUUUUAAAUGACUAAAGGGCAUGAGCUGGGCUGGGUGUUUGCUCCAGCACUUACACUUGAAUGCCAGGAGAAAAACCUGCAGUUUGUUCCUGAGUCAGUUACCUUCUGUACUCCCUGGGCCGGCAGCGGCUGAGCAUGCUAAAGAAGCAGCAUGCUCUGGUCUUUGCAUACCCGUUUUCUCCCUGUUGCUGACAUCUGUUCAGUUCCCCCAGUGCUAGUCCCAGGGGCGGUGUUGCCAUAGACAAGGGGCGGGUGCCUGCUGGUGUUUUUAUGCACCACGUCCUGUAGCCCCGGCAGUGAGAGGGGUUAGACAAUGUGGUGCUUAAAACAACUGCAGCUGCCAGGAGCCAUUGCUAUGGGGCCCUGCCCACUGCUGGGAAAUGUUUAGCAGAAACAAGGCUGAUUGCAGGUACCCCACCAGACUUCACCAGCUGGAGAAAUGAAGCUGAUCAACCACAACUGGAGUCCCAGCUUGCCCCUGGCCAGAAUCGGGGAGGCGGGAGGGGGGUGUCACAUGGCACAGCCAGGAGGCUGGGGUGCUAAGGGGAUCAUAAAAGAAGGGUGUAGGGGAGAUGUUGAAUUUCAGCAGCAUCUUUCAAGCGAGCCUCUGUGACUACAGCAGCUGGACACUUAGUGAAGGGCAAGAUUGGGUGAUCCAGUAAAAGGAAUUAAAAUGAAUCUACCAGAUUGUCUUUUUUUUGUGCUGCUUGGGGCGGCAAAAACCCUGGAGCCAGCCCUGCUGUGACCUGUUACAGUGUGUAGGGUUGCCAGAGGUCUGAAGGCCCCGUUGAAAAGGGCCGACGACGACUCUACGCGGCUUCCGGAAGCGGCUGGCAUGUCUCUCCGGCUCCUAAGUGCAAGGGCAGCCAAGGGGCCUCCGCGCACUACCACUGCCCCAAGCGUCAGCUCUCAGUGGCAGGGAACCGUGGCCAAUGGGAGCUGCAGGGGCAGCACACAGAGGCCCCUGGCCCCCUCUGCACCUAGGAGCCAGAGGGACAUGUCGCCGCUUCUGGGAGACUCCUGACAUAAGCACUGCACCCCCACAAUCCCCUGUCCUGAGCACCCUCCUGCACCCAAAAUCCCUCCCAGAGCCCGGAUCCCAGCUUUGCACCCAAACUCCCUCCUGGAGCCCCCAAUUUUCUCUUAGGGCCUAGUCCUGUAACGACAUGAGGUCACUGGCAUAACCUACCUAUAUGUGUUAGUGGUUGUAGAUGAGGACUCUGUUAUGAAAUGAGGCCUAUUGACUAAAUUUUGGACCAGAGUUGCAAAGAGACUUGGGCAUUGCCUGUUGAACAGUGCGAGGGUAACUUUUAAGCACCUAGAAAAAUCACUGAGCAUCACAAGGGCUGAUUUGAAGCCUUGGCUCCCUAUUACAAUGACUGGGAAGAGAGAGGCACCUAGGAGUGGAUUCCAUAAAAGCUGGCGCAUGGAGCAGGGAAGCCGCUGAGGUUAGUCAAUGGUAGAGGGCAAUGAGAAGGGUACUAUAGACCCCCACGCCUCUCAAGGAGGUCAGUGCCUAAAUCUGGGUGGCAAUGAGGUGUCUAGCGCUGCGUGGAAGUCACAGGUGCGAACCCUCUCCUACAGGUAGUGAAGCUGCUGCUGCCCCGCCCGCCUGCCUGCAGCCCAGUGAUUAGUGCCCUCACCCAGGCUGUGGGAGACCCACGUUCCCCAGGGAUAAUUCCCCCCUCUGCGUGGUAGGGAGAAAGGAGUUGAACAUGGGUUUUCCACUCUCUAGGACGCAUUCUACCCCUCAGCUAUGGGACACACUCAGGUGGGUUUCCCACAGUCUAGCUUGUUAAAGCCUGGUCCACUUGGGCUUAAAUAACUAUUGGCCCACUGAGCACGAGUGCUUGAGAUGGCUGCCUCGGGUCCCCCCACCACCACCACCAACUCUGAGUGGUGGGAGAGCCAAGAGCCAGUUCCCCUCUGCCAAUGACUCUAGUUAUCCAACAUGGAAGAGCGAGCCAAAGCCCCGCACGCCAUCCCAUAGCUCAGUGUCAGAGCACUCCCCUGCUCCAAGCCUUUCUCCCCCUCAACCUGAAGCUGGGGCUCCCAUCUUAGGUGAGGGCGCUAAGCCCUGAGCUAUAAAAUGGGGGCCAGCACCACUAUGGCCUCUGGCCAGGGAGCCACUCUCCUGGGCGCCCUCUGAGCACCUACUGGCUUGGGCUUGGCCGGUGAGAUAAGGCCUCGCUUCCCCUAGGGCACAGGCAUCCAGCCCCCCAGACUAAGCCAACAGCACACAUGGCCCAGAGGCAGAAUCUUAGACGUGUAGGGUCUUUUACAGUGAAAAUUGAGGCACCGAGUGGGUUGAGGCACCGACUGGGUUAGGCAGCAGCUGAGCAGGCGUUUUGUGCGGGCCCGGGGUAGCUGAUAGUGGACUUCUCUCCUAAAGUGGCAGUUAGUGGCCUAUGGCCCUUUGUAACCAAGCACUUAGAGUAAAGCAUUGUGGCUCAGCCAUAGCAACCCUUCCAGUGGGCUGCAGGGCGCAAUAGGGGACAGUGACGCCCUAGUUGUGGCUUUAAUGAAGUCUUUAGACGAGAGGUGCUGGCCACGUCCGAUCCAGAUGCAAUAAAGAUGCACUUAUCUUCUAGCUAGAUAAGAGA